rnacentral:lncRNA from 1 species
AUGCGGUGUCCCCACCUGCCCACGAAGCCCGCAGUCUCCAUCCGAGUGGCCUCCGGGUCCUCGGCCGUCCCCCCGAACAGUGCCCGACCCGCGCACUUCGUCCCCGCCCCGGGAACCUCACUGCCAACUCCGCUCACCCGCUCUGCCCUUCGUAGCUCUCACCGGCGGGGCGGGGUGGGCCGGGCCGGGCCGGGCAGCUCCGGCUCGCGGCUCCGCGGGUCCCCGUGUCUCCCCGCGGCUCCGCCCCGGCCUAUCCACUCGGAGGGUCGGUCUGCGGGCCGGGCCCGGGCAGCGCCCCCUGGAGGACGGGAGGUCCAGGUCACGCUGCGGGGACCGCGGUGCGCUGUGGGGGUUGGGGGUGGGGGGAGAUGGCUCACCCGGCAACGCGGCCGGCGGCGGGAGUGGUUCCCGGCUGCGAGCGGGCGCCGGGCACGGAGUAGACCUUCCGCCCCGCAUCCUUCGCAUCAGGAAGGGGCGGCUCUGAGCCCCAGGUCCGUCUUUCGCCCAGAAGGGGGUCUGUCGUCUGGCGGGGACUUGGCGGGGGGCUUUGAGGAGGACUGUCCCCAACCGACUUUCCCGAGGACCCCACUGUCCCGCGACCCCGGGGGCCCCGCGUGGGGCUGGGGGUGGGAGGGGGUGAGGAGCCGUCCGCUGUACAUUCGGGGACCGAGACCCAGCGAGGGGACCCCCGGCACAAGAAUUUGCCCUAGAAGGGGUGAUGGGGCCGGGGAGGGAUGCGGGUGGGGACUCGAUUUGAAAGUGUUUUUUUGCUUUUUUCUCGGGUUUGGCCGCGGAGCCGGGGAGGAGGGCAGAGUUCAAAGAAUUAAAAAACGGCGCUCAUCAUCCUGCUCUCAAGGACCCUUCAAUUUCGCCUCUGUCCGGUGUCCCGCUGCCUCGCUCCUCGGUCCCCACACUGGGUCACAGUGUGCGGUUACUCGAGAGCGAUCCCUUUUCUCUUUAAUGCAAAGCCGACCGCGGCUGUAACAGCCCUAGGCAACUCGCUCGCUUUGUAUCUGGCGCCGACAGUGUGCCGCGGCGGCGCACGCGGUGGGGCAAGAGACUGCAGGCCCGAGGUUGGCCCAGCGGAGACUGGAGGGGCAACCAGGCACGGCAAUCACGUGGUCAGCGGUGCCCUAAAGCUAAGGACCUGCGCUACUACGGCCCCUGGGGCGGCAGCACAGGUGUCUGGAUUUAGGCGUCAACGGGGCUGGACGUGGGUGGGACUAAAGGAGAUGUCCCGCCUACGGGUGGAAGGGCGGCCCAGGCGCUUCGGACUUUGAAGCAGAGCCUGGUUUUACACCUGAAGGGCAGGAAGCGACAGCGAAGUGUGUGACAGCAUCACAUCCGCCCAGAUUCGGACACGGCUCGAGAUCCCCUGGGCUUCCAACCAAGCAGAUCUCGGCGCUAGCCGGGAUUGAAUUGGGGCUCCUCUGCCUCCUGGCUGGGGGACCCUGGCAGACGCGGGAGUCCUCUCUAAACCUGCUUCUUCGUCUGUAAAAUGAGUGCCCCUCCCGGGGGGUGUGUUUGUCUGUAUGAUAUUACAUAAUGUUUCGCACUGGCAUCUCGCACAGGGCGAGCUUAGCCAAUUGACAAAGUAAGAAAAUAUAUAUGGUUCAGUUCAGUUGCUCAGUCCUGUCUGACUCUUUGCGACCCCAUGGACU